ACUCACGAAUGCUGAGAUCCCAGGCAAGGAUGACCUUCUCUAAAAGGGACACAUGAAUACCAAGAUAUGGGAGGCUUGAGCAAAUACUAUGAAUCUCUCAAGGAGCUAUGGAUUACCUUAAAAGGCUAGACAACAGAGCCACGGCACAGGAAGUCUGCCCUGGAUGCUAUCCUGCUGGGAAUUGGCCCUCUGAAACAGAUCCAUCCACCCGAUGAGUCAUGACAUUAAAAAUGAUGAAGGAAAUGGACUGGUCCCCAGACAAACAGCUCGGGGCAAUACGAUUCCUGCAUCCAAAGGACUAUGGGUUACAGACACCUCUCUCUUCUGGGAUACAACGUGUAAAAGCCGGAUUGAGAUCUCUAUGCCUGUUCUUCAACUGCUGUGGCUACCACUAUUCCAAGAGACAGAAUAAGAAAGUUAAAGACAACAAGAAAUGGGUCUGUAAGGCCCGAAGUGAGUGGUGUGGCAAACGACUGGACUCACUCACAUGAAUAUAAGGGUGAGAGGGGAAAAGCCUUGUGACUAAGUCCUGUGAUUUGGGGAUUGGGUCCAAAGCAUAGCCCAGCCCUUAUUUACUAACAUCAGAGUGAAGACAAGAACUAACUUUGCCUACAUUUUGCAGCUAAUCCAUUCAGGAACAGACUAAGUCUCGUCCUGACCUACUUGUCGUUUUUCUGUAAAGACCACUCGAGGUUUUAUCAACUUGAUCAACAGGUAUGUUCAUAGUAAACCCGAGUAACCAUUUUUGUACAGUGAAUAAAGUAUUUUUAAUAAUCCA